UCUCCAGCUCGUCUUAUCCUAUCCAUUUUUUUCUCCAGCUCGUCUCUAUUCUAUUGAAAUCUCUGCGGCUCGUCUCCAACAAUAAAAUUCAAUAUAUUCUCAUUAAUUAAAGAGGAAUAAGAUUGAAUUCAGUCUAUCAGUUCUCUUCAUCAACCACAUGAAAAUCUCAAAAAAGGGUAAGAGAAAGAGUUAGAACUUAGAAGCAGCAAAUAUGAAUGUCGCAGUCAUCUGGGAAAUUGCACAGAUAUUAUACAUAUAUCUAAAGCUCGGUGCACUGUUCAUCACUGUGCAAAAUUAAGUGGUGCUUUUGCCCUUUCUGUCUCCUUCAAUUACAAGUUUGCCAUUGUUCUAUACGGUUCUUACGCGACCUUUGUUUUUUUUUAGUGUGACGAUGGUGUUUUCCAAUAGAAAGCAAUUACAACAUAAUCUCAUCAUCAAGAAGUUCGAUCCCCUCUGAUACAGUAGAAGAAGAAGGCGAAGCAGUUUCUUGCUGAUUUUUUUUUGUUUUUGUUCCCACCUCAAUCGGAAGAUUGGGAAUUUUGAUUCUUUUUGAGAGCAUUGUUUCCCAGAUUUCUAUGUUUUUUCGUUUUGGUUGGGGUUUUGUUGUUCUCUUCUGAGUCAGGUUAUUGAUUGUGGGUUUCGGAAAUUGGGAAUUCGGUUUUAUUGUGUUGGGUUUGAUUAGCUUUUACAGUUAGAGUUACUGAAUUGAGGUUUUCUUGGGUGAUUGAAUUUGAUUGUGUAAUUUCAGGGUUUUGAUUCCGAGUUUGUUGAAAGUUAAAUUCAGUUAGUACGUCGAUUUGUUGUGUUUAUGCUUAAUUGAAGAGUUGGCUAAUAUGAUUAAUUGAAUUGAAGUUUUGUAAUAUCGUAGUUUCCUUUCCUUUGGAUUUGAUGUAAGGUUUUUGAUUUUGAUGGUAGAUCAUUGAGCUAAGAGAAAGAAGACGAGAGAUUGAAAAUUUUGGUUGAACAGGUUGCUGGGUUUUCAAAGAGGUCUUCAUUACAUGUUUACUGUCCUCAAUUGGAGCUGCACUGCCUUCAAUUUUUGUGCAACCAAACCAAACCAUCUAUACCAUACAUUACAACACCAAUAAUAUUGUCAUCAUGUACGAAAACAAUCACAAUACCAAAUCCGCAGCAAGGCGCGGACAAAUCUUCCUAGUUGGGUACUAGACAAGAGGGAGGCAGAGAAGCCAUGAAGAAGGAAGUGCUAAAAUUUCAAUGAUCCCAACAAUUAGACUUGAAAUUGAUCAAUAAAGAUGAAUAAGAGUGAGAAAUAGAGCCUAAAAUAAUGGGAAUUUGAUAGGGAGAGAGAUUAAACUACUUUUUUUUUUCCUGGGAAACUCAGAAGCUUUCCUGGCUAGAGAUAUGGCUGAAGUGAUAAGAGAACACAACCAUCACUGUCUCUAGCCAAAAAAAAAAAAAAAACAUUGUUUGGAUGGAGAAUAGAGUCCCAAAUCUUUUUCUUUA